rnacentral:tRNA from 1 species
UGGAUUGUAGCUCAGUGGCAGAGCGAUGGUCUUAUAAGCCAUGUGUCGCAAGUUCGAUUCUUGUCAAUCCAA